GCAGGUCCGGCUCUGUGUGCAUUCUGCCGUCUAUCCGCUCACUGGCCAUGGGCAGUGCUCACCACGGGGCGGGCACUGUCCUCAGCUCUUUACAUGGAUUUACUCACUCGGGGCACUUAGCACCCAGUGAGGUCAGCAUCGCUGUCAUCCCGUCUUACAGAGGAGAACUCGGAGGCUGUGAGAGGUUCGUAAAUCUGCUUCUGCAGGGAGGCUUCACACCCAGGCACUUGGUCUGCUGAGCAGAGGCUCUUGCCGGCCGCCCAAGUCCCCUCCUACUCCAGCACCCUGGGCUUUCAGAGACAGAGAAUCUCUGUCCCUCCGGCCAGUGCCUCUCAAACCUGCCUUUGCAUGUGGCUCAUCGGGGACAUUGGUAAAAUGUCCAUUCAGGUCCAGUGCUUGGGGGCGGGCCUGUCUCUCAUUCCCAACAAGCUCCUGGGUGAUGCCCGUCCCUGUGGCUGACCUGUGGUCCACAUGUGGAGGAGUGAAGCCCUGGACCAUCCUGUCUGACAUUUGCUGCCAGACUGUACUUAUGGGACUUCCCUGGUGGUCCAGUGGUUAAGACUUUGCCUUCCAAUGCAGGGGUUGCAGGUUCAAUCCCUGGUUGGAGAGCUAAGAUCUCACAUGCCUUGUGGCCAAAAAACCAAAGCAUAAAACAAAAGCAGUAUCGUGACAAAUCCAAUAAUGAUUUCAAAGACAGUCCACAUCAAAGAAAAAAAAAAAAAAAAAGCUUGUACUUAAGCAGCUGUGGUGGAAACCCCUGGCAUUUAAAUAGAGACAUUUUCAGCAACAGGGCAACACCAACACAAACUUAACGAGUGAUCUGUUGGAAAAGAAAAGGGCCGCAGUGUCGGAAGUAAUCAAGUUUUAAAUAAAAGCUAAUUCUCUUAGACAUUAAUGGAAAGUAGAGUAUGUCCUCUUCUCAUGUCUCAGCCAGGGGUCUUUCUCCUGUUUGGGAGCUCAACCCAGCACUUCCAGGCUAGUUUCAGCCCUCAUUCUUCUGAGUCACCUUGAUGCAUGGGUCUCCCAGCCACACCCCAGCAGUGUACCAGGGAUCAGAAACUCAGUCAGACUCCAUCACAAAAGCAGGAUCUCCAUGGCAACCACAUCCUGGGCUUCACAAGUGCACCCAGAAGCCUGAGCAGAGCUGAUCCUUGAGGUGACCCAGGUUGUUCCCCUGGGGAGAUGGGGGGACAUGGCACCCUGCCCAUGCUGGGCCGUGGGAUCUUCACCCCUGCACAAGGGGGCUUCCCUCAGCUCUGAAGAUCCCAGACACUCGGAACCUGCCCCACUCCCUGUAAUCUUGCUGUUGGCCUCCGGGUGUUUCCAAAAUGUCCAGUCCCACGAGGACGCUGCAGUGCUUGGCGAUACUCAUGUUCUUCUGGUUUGAGUUUUGGUGGCUCACCAUCUCUGAGUCUUGCUGUGUUAAUGUGUCAAUAUUUUGGUUCAUCUGCUUACUGGUGGUGUGGGGCCUAUGGCAGAUCCAGUAGGGAAGGGCCGGCAGAUGGGACCCCCCACAUAGCGACCGUGAGAGGAAUCUUGAUCCCAGUGUGUAGAGCUGGUGAAAGCAUGGCUUUCUGGAUCAGGGGUUUAGCUUGUAAGUUAAGGCCCAAUGCUGCUUUCUGUCACUUAGAACAGUGUCCCCACUCCUGCCUGUUCCCACACCUCCAUCAUUCAGGGGACAAUGGUGUGGGUCCACUAUGUCCUUCCCGUUUGGAUGAUGUCAUUGGAGAAGCACUCUGUCCUCCCCCCAGCUGAGACCCAGGAGGUGACCUAAUGUCUGAUGGGCCUGAGACAAAAGAAACCAAGAUGGCCCGGUGGACCCUGAACGCUGGUUCCAGUGGUCACCAUUGGGUCGAGAGGAGGCAGUGGACUCAGUAGCACUAGAUUGUCCACAGGACUCCCUGGAAGGCUUCUCUCAGCUUCGGGAAACCAGUGUGCUCAGCGGUACUGCUCUAACACUCCGCGAAGCUACUGGAACGCGUCUCCAGCAGAACCUUGGUGAACAUGUUUGCUGUCAGCCUAUGUUAAGACCUGCCCUCUACCCUCCCACUCUCUGCUCUGAAACACUGGCCCCAGAUGACAUUCAGGGGAAUAAAAGUGACGUCGCUGGUUUUCAUAUCGGAAGCCCAACGUUAAUAAAUGCAGUUUGGAUGGCU